rnacentral:rRNA from 1 species
UACGUAGGGUGCAAGCGUUGUCCGGAAUUAUUGGGCGUAAAGAGCUCGUAGGCGGUGUGUCACGUCGGCCGUGAAAACCUGCAGCUUAACUGUGGGCGUGCGGUCGAUACGGGCAUCACUGGAGUUCGGCAGGGGAGACUGGAAUUCCUGGUGUAGCGGUGAAAUGCGCAGAUAUCAGGAGGAACACCGGUGGCGAAGGCGGGUCUCUGGGCCGAUACUGACACUGAGGAGCGAAAGCCAGGGGAGCAAACGGG